rnacentral:rRNA from 1 species
AACGAACGCUGGCGGCAUGCCUAACACAUGCAAGUCGAACGAGACCUUCGGGUCUAGUGGCGCACGGGUGCGUAACGCGUGGGAACCUGCCCUUAGGUUCGGAAUAACUCCCCGAAAGGGGUGCUAAUACCGGAUAAUGUCUUCGGACCAAAGAUUUAUCGCCUUUGGAUGGGCCCGCGUUGGAUUAGCUAGUUGGUAGGGUAAAAGCCUACCAAGGCGACGAUCCAUAGCUGGUCUGAGAGGAUGAUCAGCCACACUGGGACUGAGACACGGUCCAGACUCCUACGGGAGGCAGCAGUGGGGAAUAUUGGACAAUGGGCGAAAGCCUGAGCCAGCAAUGCCGCGAGAGUGAUGAAGGCCUUAGGGUUGUAAAGCUCUUUUACCCGGGAUGAUAAUGACAGUACCGGGAGAAUAAGCACCGGCUAACUCCGU